rnacentral:rRNA from 1 species
CCGCCUGCCCUGUGACUAUAUGUUUAACGGCCGCGGUAUCUUAACCGUGCGAAGGUAGCGUAAUCACUUGUCUUUUAAAUGAAGACCUGUAUGAAUGGCAUCACGAGGGCUUAACUGUCUCCCCUCUCCAGUCAAUGAAAUUGACCUCCCCGUGCAGAGGCGGGGAUAUUUCUAUAAGACGAGAAGACCCUGUGGAGCUUUAGACCUAAAAUAAACCACGUUUAAUAUACUAAAAUUAAUAGCAAAAACUUAGUGGGCAUUUAUUUAAGUGUCUUUGGUUGGGGCGACCGCGGAGUAAAACACAACCUCCAUGUGGACGGGGAUACUAUCCCUAAAACUCAGAGCCUCCACUCCAAGCAACAGAAAUUCUGACCUCACUGAUCCGGUACAGCCGAUUAACGAACCCAGUUACCCCAGGGAUAACAGCGCAAUCCCCUCUCAGAGCUCAUAUCGACGAGGGGGUUUACGACCUCGAUGUUGGAUCAGGACAUCCUAGUGGUGCAGCCGCUAUUG